GCCUGGCAGGGGCACACAGGGCAAUUGCCCAUUGAAGGAUGCUCAGGUUUUGGUUCAGAAGGUGUUAUAAGCAUUAUCCAAGAGAAACUAAAACACAGCACAAGAAAAUAGAAAGUUAAAAUUUUUUCGACCAGUUACAUGCCAAUGCCAAGGCCAGACCAGCCAAUUAUCCUUCGGGUAGGAGAAAUCUGUGAUCUGAGCCCAGAUUUUACAACCGAGGCCCUUCUGCAAAGGAAUCUUAAAAUAGAAGCAGUAAACCAGGUAUCAGAAGGACAGAUAUUUGGUAUCAUCACUACAGCUGUUGCCACCAGUUCAGAUCAUACCGGCACCCGUAAAGUAGGUUUUUUGCUCUUUGUUCCUCCAAAGUGCUCUAGAAAACAGCACUGUAAAGCAUUGAAAACAUCAAAUGUAAUGCAAAUUAACAGGGCUCUCCCAUAUGAUUUUUUGUAAUUUGUUUUUUUUUUCUUUUUCUUUAAAUGCUUUCAUACUUCGGCAUCUGUAGCCUCAUGUGCAUAUUAUUGUGCCCUGUGUAUGAUUUUUUGUAUCCUUGUUUUGAAGUUCAUUGGAAGCCCCUUCAUUUCAGUGGAUAAUUAUUGGCCCCACUAAUCUCUGAGUAAAGUUAGAAUAGCCAGUGAAGGCAAAGAGGAUCUCAGAGUACCAAAAGGAUGAACUGUUCAUAUUUUUUAUUGUAGACAGAGAUAAUUUCAUUUCAUGUGUAAGAAUUAAAUUUAACAUUUUAUCUCAAGUUAUUUUUAGAAACUUCUUGCUAACAGAUAAUCCUUUGUAUGGAUUGGCAUAAAAGGGCAAAUGUGUAGUAGUAGCAGCUACUUGAGUGCAUGGUAGCUGUCCAAGAAAAAUAUUUGUGCCAGUCUUGCUGAGUCAGGGUAAGUUUCCAAAUAGGCAGAGUGUCCCUCUCAUUGACAGGAUUUAUUUCACACAAACUAAAUCAAACACUCUUCUGUCCUGUAGGCUCAGGGCAGUAGUGCAUACUGUUAGCAAGAGACAGCAAUCCUGUUCAACAGAGUGUGUAAGUAUCCUAGCGUUGUGUCUGUAUGAGGUGUGGUACACAGUAAAAUAGGUUAGCCAAAAAUUUAUUAUUUUGUCUAGACAGGUGUCACCUGGUGCCCAGACAGUCACAAUUUUUCACAUCUGAGAUUACUAAGAGGACAGUUCAUUAAAAUGCUUUGCUGUUGACUUGAAGAUGUCACAUGUAAGACAUACCAAUACCAAGUUGUCUUGCCCAUUUCCCUGCCAGUCCACAGCUGUUGGACUGCAGUGUGCUACUGACACCAAGCUAUAAAUCAGAGCAGGUUCUCUUGAAAUGUAGCUGUUCAGCAGCCUAGCGGCAUGCAGAUACUCUUGGCAAACUUCAUCAGGGCCAGUAAUGACACCCAAACCUGGGUGGCUUGUCAUUGCUGGAAGUUUUGAUCUGAACAUUUUGUACUGUCCUCUCCAGGAGCUCUUUCCAAACAAAAUGCAGUCUCCCAGCCCCAAAAAGACUUGCACCUGUAUUGCAGGUCAGGUACCCGCCUGGGGUAGGGUAGGGAUGGUUCUGCUCUAUGCAGGAGCUGCACAGCAACAGCUCCACCACUGUAAGAGGUGUGGAAACAUUCUCAUUUACUGGUGUUGCCCUGCUUCACAAACAGGUGCCUAUCUGGACCCUGUGAUCAGAUGAAAGUGGUGCAUUGCUGGGAGGAAAAGAAAGAGAGCUGUGCUGUCCUGCUGUUUGCCUUGAGAAGGGCACAAGUUACAACUGGCCACUGUACCACUAAGUAUGGAAAGAGGGCUCCAGGGAAUGCUCUUGGCUGUGCACAACAGCACUGUAUAAAAAGGAUGGCUGAAUUACCCAAAAUACUCAGGGUGACUCAAGGCACUGGGGACAUCCCAUCCUGCUGUCUGGUUCAGGCGACCUCAGAUGUGGAUUGGAAAGGGGCGAAGCCCGGCAGAAAUUGAACUGCUGAAGACAA